UUGGUGCGAUGAACGAUCGCGUCUAUACGAGGAAAGUCCGAGCUGCUCUAAGACAUGGUUCCAUCUAACGGAUGGCUAGGGCAACCUAAGGGAUAGUGCAACAGAAAGGAAACUACCGCUAUUUUUGGCGGAAAAGGUGAAAGGGUAGGGUAAGAGCCUACCAGCGUUUUUGGUAACAAUAACGGCUAUGUAAACCCAACCUGCAGCAAGAAGGGAUGGUUUUUGUCUUAGUAUGAUAAACCCUUCGCUUGAGCUAAAUUGCAAAAUUUAGCCUAGAUAAAUGAUCGUUUGAAAAACAGAACUCGGCUUACAGUCGCACCAGAUUC
rnacentral:RNase_P_RNA from 1 species